CACGUAGGGCGCAAGCGUUGUCCGGAAUUAUUGGGCGUAAAGAGCUCGUAGGCGGUUUGUCGCGUCUGCUGUGAAAACUUCAGGCUCAACCUGGGGCUUGCAGUGGGUACGGGCAGACUAGAGUGCGGUAGGGGUGACUGGAAUUCCUGGUGUAGCGGUGGAAUGCGUAGAUAUCAGGAGGAACACCGAUGGCGAAGGCAGGUCACUGGGCCGCAACUGACGCUGAGGAGCGAAAGCAUGGGGAGCGAACAGG
rnacentral:rRNA from 1 species